GAUGAACGCUGGCGGCGUGCCUAAUACAUGCAAGUCGAGCGAACAGACGAGGAGCUUGCUCCUCUGACGUUAGCGGCGGACGGGUGAGUAACACGUGGAUAACCUACCUAUAAGACUGGGAUAACUUCGGGAAACCGGCGCUAAUACCGGAUAAUAUAUUGAACCGCAUGGUUCAAUAGUGAAAGACGGUUUUGCUGUCACUUAUAGAUGGAUCCGCGCCGCAUUAGCUAGUUGGGAAGGUAACGGCUUACCAAGGCAACGAUGCGUAGACGACCUGAGAGGGUGAUCGGCCACACUGGAACUGAGACACGGUCCAGACUCCUACGGGAGGCAGCAGUAGGGAAUCUUCCGCAAUGGGCGAAAGCCUGACGGAGCAACGCCGCGUGAGUGAUGAAGGUCUUCGGAUCGUAAAACUCUGUUAUUAGGGAAGAACAAAUGUGUAAGUAACUAUGCACGUCUUGACGGUACCUAAUCAGAAAGCCACGGCUAACUACGUG
rnacentral:rRNA from 1 species